rnacentral:rRNA from 1 species
AACGAACGCUGGCGGCAUGCCUAACACAUGCAAGUCGAACGAGACCUUCGGUUCUAGUGGCGUACUGGUUCGUAACGCGUUGGAAUCUGCCCUUGGGUUCGUCCUAACAGUUGGAAAUGUCUGCUCAUACCGGAAGAUGACAUAAGUCCAACGAUUUAUCGCCCAAGGAUGAGCCCGCGUAGGAUUAGCUAGUUGGUGAGGUAAAGGCUCACCAAGGCGACGAUCCUUAGCUGGUCUGAGAGGAUGAUCAGCCACACUGGGACUGAGACACGGCCCAGACUCCUACGGGAGGCAGCAGUGGGGAAUAUUGGACAAUGGGCGAAAGCCUGAUCCAGCAAUGCCGCGUGAGUGAUGAAGGCAUUAGGGUUGUAAAGCUCUUUUACCCGGGAUGAUAAUGACAGUACCGGGAGAAUAAGCUCCGGCUAACUCCGUG